CUAUACAUGCAAGUUUGAGCGCUGAAGGUUGGUACUUGUACCGACUGGAUGAGCAGCGAACGGGUGAGUAACGCGUGGGGGAAUCUGCCGUUUGAGCGGGGGACAACAUUUGGGAAACGCAAUGCUAACUACCGCAUAACAAACUUUAAACACAAUGAUUUUAAGUUUGAAAAGAAACUGCAAUUGGCCAUCACUCAAAGAAUGAAAUCCCCGCGUUUGGUAUUUAGCGUAGGUUGGGUGGAGGUAAAGGGGGCUCACCAAGGGCGGAAUGAUAGCAGUAGCCGCACCGUGGAGAAGGGGUGGAAUCGGACCACAUUUGGAGGACCUGAGCACAACGGCCCCAAUACCUCCUUAACGGGGAGGGCAGGCAGUUAGGGGUAAAUCUUUCGCGACAAAUGAGAACGAAAAAGUUCCUGGACCCGAAGACAAACGCCCGUCGGUGGAGCUGAAAGAAAGGGUUUUUUCGGGAAUCGAUAAAAACCUCCUGCUU
rnacentral:rRNA from 1 species